rnacentral:rRNA from 1 species
GAUGAACGCUGGCGGCGUGCUUAACACAUGCAAGUCGAACGAAGCAUUUAGAACAGAUUACUUCGGUUUGAAGUUCUUUAUGACUGAGUGGCGGACGGGUGAGUAACGCGUGGGUAACCUGCCUUGUACUGGGGGAUAGAAGCUGGAAACGGCUGGUAAUACCGCAUAAGCGCACAAUGUUGCAUGACAUGGUGUGAAAAACUCCGGUGGUAUAAGAUGGACCCGCGUCUGAUUAGCUAGUUGGUGAGAUAACAGCCCACCAAGGCGACGAUCAGUAGCCGACCUGAGAGGGUGACCGGCCACAUUGGGACUGAGACACGGCCCAGACUCCUACGGGAGGCAGCAGUGGGGAAUAUUGCACAAUGGAGGAAACUCUGAUGCAGCGACGCCGCGUGAGUGAAGAAGUAAUUCGUUAUGUAAAGCUCUAUCAGCAGGGAAGAUAGUGACGGUACCUGACGAAGAAGCUCCGGCUAAAUACGUG